rnacentral:rRNA from 1 species
AGUGAACGCUGGCGGUAGGCCUAACACAUGCAAGUCGAACGGCAGCACAGUAAGAGCUUGCUCUUACGGGUGGCGAGUGGAGGACGGGUGAGGAAUACAUCGGAAUCUACUUUUUCGUGGGGGAUAACGUAGGGAAACUUACGCUAAUACCGCAUACGACCUGCGGGUGAAAGCAGGGGAUCUUCGGACCUUGCGCGAUUGAAUGAGCCGAUGUCGGAUUAGCUAGUUGGCGGGGUAAAGGCCCACCAAGGCGACGAUCCGUAGCUGGUCUGAGAGGAUGAUCAGCCACACUGGAACUGAGACACGGUCCAGACUCCUACGGGAGGCAGCAGUGGGGAAUAUUGGACAAUGGGCGCAAGCCUGAUCCAGCCAUACCGCGUGGGUGAAGAAGGCCUUCGGGUUGUAAAGCCCUUUUGUUGGGAAAGAAAAGCAGCAGGUUAAUACCCCGCUGUUCUGACGGUACCCAAAGAAUAAGCACCGGCUAACUUCGUG